AGUUGGCUGCGGAGGAGAAGGAGGAGCGCGAAGGGAGAACAGAAGCCAGCCAGACAGCCGGGGCUUGUUCACUUCCGCACGGCCUCUACCGCCGCGUUCCUUCGGCUUGUUCUUCUUCUCCCGGAGCGAUGAGGCGGAAGGAGAAGAGGCUGCUGCAGUUCGCGGGGCUGCUCAUUGCGGCUCUCCUCUUCCUCCCCAACGUCGGCCUGUGGUCCUUGUACCGGGACCGGGUGUUCGACAGAUCGGCGGCCAACGCGGCGGACGGACCCGGCGGCGGCCAGCAGACGCAGGGGCUCAACCAGAUGAGGAAGGUCGGCCAUAUUGGGCAAGACGGCGUGCGACGGACCGACUGGCACGACUACGAUGCCAUACGAAGGGACGCCGUUCGAGUUGGAAACGGCGAACAGGGAAAACCUUUUCCCAUAUCCGAGGCCGACCAAGUGGACCUGGCCUACAGGGAGAACGGCUUCAACAUCUACGUCAGCGACCGCAUCUCGCUCAACCGCUCCCUUCCGGACAUCCGCCACCCAAACUGCAAGCGGAAGCUGUACGCCGAGAAGCUGCCCAGCACCAGCAUCAUCAUCCCGUUCCACAACGAGGGCUGGUCGUCGCUGCUGAGGACCGUCCACAGCGUCCUCAACCGCUCGCCUCCGCAGCUCAUCGCCGAGGUCAUCCUGGUGGACGACUUCAGCGACAAAGAGCACUUGAAGGCAGCGUUGGAGGAGUACAUGGAGCGCCUGCCCAAAGUGCGCAUCCUGAGGACCAAGAAGAGGGAGGGUCUUAUCCGGACCCGGCUGCUGGGCGCCAGCGCCGCCAAGGCCCAGGUCAUCACCUUCCUGGACUCGCACUGCGAGGCCAACGUCAACUGGCUGCCGCCGCUACUCGACCGAAUCGCCCAGAACCGGAAGACCAUCGUGUGCCCGAUGAUCGACGUGAUCGACCACGACAACUUUGGCUACGAGACGCAAGCGGGCGACGCCAUGCGCGGGGCCUUCGACUGGGAGAUGUACUACAAGCGCAUCCCCAUCCCCGCCCGCCUGCAGAAGGACGACCCCAGCGAGCCCUUCGAGUCCCCGGUCAUGGCGGGCGGGCUGUUCGCCGUGGACAGGAAGUGGUUCUGGGAGCUGGGAGGCUACGACGCGGGGCUGGAGAUCUGGGGCGGCGAGCAGUACGAGAUCUCUUUCAAGUUGUGGAUGUGCGGCGGGCGCAUGGAGGACAUCCCGUGCUCCAGGGUGGGGCACAUCUACAGGAAGUACGUCCCCUACAAGGUCCCCGGCGGGAUCAGCUUAGCCAAAAACCUGAAGCGCGUGGCCGAGGUGUGGAUGGACGAGUACGCCGAGUACGUGUACCGGCGGCGGCCCGAGUACCGCCACCUGUCGGCUGGCGACAUGACGGCGCAGAAGGAGCUGCGCAGCCGCCUGGCGUGCAACGACUUCAAGUGGUUCAUGAGCCAGGUGGCCUGGGAUCUACCCGAACACUACCCGCCCGUGGAGCCCCCCGCCGCCGCCUGGGGCGAGAUCCGCAACGUGGGCAGCGGCAUGUGCAUGGAGGUCAAACACUUUGUGUCGGGCAGCCCCGUGCGCUUGGAGAACUGCGCCAAAAGCCGCGGCGACGUGGCCCGGAGUCACGGGCAGGUGCUGACGCUGGGUUGGCGCCAGGACAUUCGCCUGGGCGACCCGGUGCACACCAGGAAGGUUUGCCUCGACGCCGUCUCCCACAAAAGCUUCGUCACCCUCUACGACUGCCACGGCAUGAAGGGGAACCAGCUGUGGCGCUACCGCAAGGAUAAGAGCUUGUACCACCCGGUGAGCAACAGCUGCGUGGACGGCAGCCCCGGCGAGCGCCGCGUCUUCAUGAACUCGUGCGACCCGUCUUUGCUCAGUCAGCAGUGGCUCUUCGAGAGGACCAACGCCACCGUGCUGGAGCGCUUCAACCGGGGCGGCGAUUGACGACGCCCUCGCAAGAUUAAGAAAACGUCGGCCGAAUAACGAGCCGUUUGUCCGACAGUCGUGGAAAAGGCGCGGCCAGGGGGCUCCCCGGACCAGCAGACGACCAUUUGACCGCGAGCGCUUGAGACCAGGAAGAAGGUGGUCCCGGAGCGGGGCGGCCGGUCCCCGAAGACCCUUCCGAAGACGUUGGCUCUCUUUUCAAGCUCCCGCCCAAAUGUUUGGAGAAAAAAAAAAAAACUCUGCGGGAUUAGAACGGAAGCUCUUCUUCAGUCGCCGCCUUUGAACUCUCUGGGCCGAGUUUCUCCGAGAAAGACGCGUGGAUGGGGACGCGUGGAUGGGGACGCUUGCUCUUGCAUCGAGGCGAAAAGCUCUCGGAGUGAGACUGAAGCAAGUUGGAGAGGUGCAAAAGAAAGACUCGGCCAUGCCGAUCGCGUGCCGAUCGUCAAGAGCGGGCAAAUAGAAAAAAUGAGCAGAAAAUGGAGCAUUUUACGGCGGGCGUGAAAGGGGCUACCGGCUCUGAUACUACCUUCAAAGCUGUCACAUUCCAACCCACACGCGGAAGAAAUUAAAGCCACUCUGGAUGUCAUCUUGUCUCUGUUGCAGCUUUACUACGACCGUCGGAGGCGGCAAAAUUGCCCAGUCGGCUUUGUAGCUCCGACGGAGAACCAGGAGAAAUACGAGCAUGCGAGCAGAUGCCGAUCGCCCAAGACGAGGUCUCCGAACUAAAACGGCGGCUGCUUUCACCCACAAACGUCCGCCUGCCUUCAUACCAUUGCGGAGGCAAGCACGCAAUCGUUUGCACGAAUACGCCGGUUGACGCCAAGGUACAAUCGUACAUUUUAACCUGCGCCACCUUUUGGUAGAUUUACGGCAGUCUUGUUUCCGCCAUGCGGGAUUCACAGCCGGUGUGUUUUGUACCAAAAAAGUUCUUUGAUCCCAAUUUCAUGAUCCAGUUGCUAACUUGGAACGUGGAAUAACUUUGCUCCACGAGACAAAUGCCAUUUGAUCGGAUUUUCCACGCCAGCGGGCCCAUGCGGUUUUCUUUCGGAGACCUGACCAAAUCGCUCCAUUUCCAUGACGAUCAACGAUAAAUCUCGACAGCGGGAGGAUUUCUUUGCGUCCUCCACCUGAGCUCCCAACAAGCUAACCCGCUAACCUGCUAA